ensembl:snRNA U6 U6 spliceosomal RNA
GUGCUUGCUUCAGCAGCACAUACGCGAAAAUUGGAAUGAUACAGAGAAGGUUAGCAUGGCCCCUGCACAAGGAUGGCGAAUUCAUGAAGCAUUCCACAUUAAA